rnacentral:rRNA from 1 species
AUUGAACGCUGGCGGCAUGAUUUACACAUGCAAGUCGAACGGUAACAGGCCGCAAGGUGCUGACGAGUGGCGAACGGGAGAGUAAUGCAUCGGAACGUGCCCAGUCGUGGGGGAUAACUACUCGAAAGAGUAGCUAAUACCGCAUACGAUCUAUGGAUGAAAGCGGGGGACCGUAAGGCCUCGCGCGAUUGGAGCGGCCGAUGUCAGAUUAGGUAGUUGGUGGGGUAAAGGCUCACCAAGCCAACGAUCUGUAGCUGGUCUGAGAGGACGACCAGCCACACUGGGACUGAGACACGGCCCAGACUCCUACGGGAGGCAGCAGUGGGGAAUUUUGGACAAUGGGCGCAAGCCUGAUCCAGCAAUGCCGCGUGCAGGAAGAAGGCCUUCGGGUUGUAAACUGCUUUUGUACGGAACGAAACGGCUCUGGUUAAUACCCGGGGCUAAUGACGGUACCGUAAGAAUAAGCACCGGCUAGCUACGUG